GCGCACGGGUGAGUCCACGUGGAGAGAAAACAUUUUGGUUCGGGAUAAUCCUGGGAAACUAGGGCUAAUACUUGAUGGUUCCUACGGGAUAAAGAUUUAUCGCCAAAAGAUGAGUCCGCGUCCGAUUAGCUAGUUGGUGAGGUAAUGGCUCACCAAGGCGACGAUCGGUAGCUGGUCUGAGAGGACGAUCAGCCACACUGGGACUGAGACACGGCCCAGACUCCUACGGGAGGCAGCAGUGGG
rnacentral:rRNA from 1 species